rnacentral:lncRNA from 1 species
AGAGUUCAAGGACCCAGUGCUGGGCUCUCCCUCCUGGCCCAUCUGGAGACCUCGAGGAGUGAGGCGGCCCCUCCCUGUCUGUGAGUCAGGGCACUGUAGGACGCCACAGUGCUUCCCGAUGUUCCGCCAACAAAGCUGGGCCACAGCACUGGGCAAUCAGAGCCCAGCGCCCGCUAGGACUCACAUCAUGAGGGGCCUUAUGAGAAGUUAAAAAAAAAUACAUGUUUCUGUACAGCAGAAAUUGGCACAACAUCGUAAAUUAACUAUAUUUUAAUUAAAAAAUCAUAAAGAAGGGGGGAAAGACACCCAAUUAUUUCAAUAGAAAGAAUUUUUAAAAAAAUCUAUGCCCCUGUACCUAUGCUCGCUUUACAUUUUUUAUUUGGAAGGGCCAAGGGAAGAAAAUCAUGAAGUGUUUUCAUUUCUCUGCGAUUGAGCAAACUCUUAAAAUAUUAAACCAUCGCUUAAUAAUUGAUUAAAACUAAUCUCAGGGGGAGCCAAUCACCCAUUUGGCAGGAUCUCGCCAAACUUUUAGGGGCUUUUAACCCCCCACCCCGCCCCACCCCCGGCCGUCUAGCCUCUUCUCGCCUUAUUCUUUCAGGGCUCAGCAGCUGCUGUGCUCUGCUGCUUGUGUGGUCACGAUGUCACAGUGCCUCACCUGAGCUGUGGGAUGGCAGAGCGAGGCUGGAUUCAGAAAACCGGAGGUAGAGGGGGAGGCGGGAAGGAAGCCAGCGUGUCUGCAAUAAUGGCACCGUGGUUUCUAAGACACAGAAGGGCGUCAGAGGGGCGGCUGUGCGACCUUCAGAGCCACUGAGGUUGUCUUCGUGCAGGGGCUCUGCGGAAAGCAGGAGACGUCCUUGCUGGUGAAGAAUUGGUGACAUUGGGAAUUGGAGCUGCAGGCCCAAGUGGCCGGCUCAUCACACGCCGGGGGAAUGAAAUCACCCAGGUGAGAAAUGUUGGCCCUGGAAUUUCCAGCCUGUCAUUAGUCACAGACACUCACUGCCUUGCAGAGGCCUGGAGCCACACUUCCACCUGCGUAUCUAGGACCCGAACAGAGUGGCUCAUGACACACGGAAAUGAGGUUUCUUUCAAAUGGCAGCAUGCUGAGAAAUGAUUCAAGCCCCUUCUUGAGACUUCAGGUUGGGAGCUGGGCUUUCACCAGCCCCCUUAAUGGUUUUUAUGUGACUCACUGAAUUUUGACCCUGAAACGUCCUGUGGGUCACCUUCGUCAAGCUUCUCUUGACUCUGAUGUGGAGAGUGAGGCCAGAGGGCAGAGGCUCCGGCGAUGUCUGCCGGAGUGGCUGACGGGCCGGGCACAGAGUCCAGGACAUGGACCCCCAAAGGCCUCUUGGUUCUGGGGUCACCUUCGUAAAACAGUAGAGGGUGUGUUUUGCUAGGUGGUUUGGGGGAGUCCUGUUCUGAUGUAUUAGCUGGAAGAUUGGGUAGUUGCCUCCUUUACUCAGUACAGAUGCUUAUGGAGGGCUGGAAAUGGGUCAGUGGGGAGCAAGUGCCUCGUACCCUUGGGGCGAAUCCUGUCCAUAGCUCCACAUCUGGCUGAUUUUAAGUUAUCCUCAGGGUUCCCUGAUUUAAAAAAUGCAGAUCCUGAAACCCUGCCCUCCUCCUCCUCAUGAUGCGUAGCUCUGGAUGGGACCAGGCGUCUUUAUUUUAAAGUAUUUUCCCAGGUGACUCUGACAACCUGUCAAGUUCGGGGUUGAUGGGCUCCUUUCACCUUCACUUAGACGAAGGAAGUGGAUUUCUCAG